AGAAAAAUAUCCCACUGAAUAUGUCAUUUUGAAAAAAGUUUGAAAACCUUACACCCAUUUUGGCAUCUUUUCACUGGCUUCCUGUCUCUGUGAGAUCAGAUUUUAAGGUUCUGCUGUUAACUUAUAAAAUUCUUCAAGGACUAGCACCUGCCUACUUAGCUGACCUAGUCAA